AUUGAACGCUGGCGGAAUGCUUUACACAUGCAAGUCGAACGGUAGAGGGGGCAACCCCUCGAGAGUGGCGAACGGGUGAGUAAUAUAUCGGAACGUGCCCAGUCGUGGGGGAUAACGUAACGAAAGUUACGCUAAUACUGCAUACGAGCUAAGGAUGAAAGCGGGGGAUCGCAAGACCUCGCGCGAUUGGAGCGGCCGAUAUCAGAUUAGGUAGUUGGUGGGGUAAAGGCUCACCAAGCCAACGAUCUGUAGCUGGUCUGAGAGGACGACCAGCCACACUGGAACUGAGACACGGUCCAGACUCCUACGGGAGGCAGCAGUGGGAAAUUUUGGACAAUGGACGCAAGUCUGAUCCAGCCAUUCCGCGUGCAGGAUGAAGGCCCUCGGGUUGUAAACUGCUUUUGUACGGAACGAAAAGGUCUCUCUUAAUACGGGGGACUCAUGACGGUACCGUAAGAAUAAGCACCGGCUAACUACGUGCCAGCCGCCGCCGUAA
rnacentral:rRNA from 1 species